rnacentral:rRNA from 1 species
ACGAACGCUGGCGGCGUGCUUAACACCUGCAAGUCGUACGGAAAGGCCCUGCUUUUGUGGGGUGCUCGAGUGGCGAACGGGUGAGUAACACGUGAGUAACCUGCCCUUGACUUUGGGAUAACUUCAGGAAACUGGGGCUAAUACCGGAUAGGAGCUCCUGCUGCAUGGUGGGGGUUGGAAAGUUUCGGCGGUUGGGGAUGGACUCGCGGCUUAUCAGCUUGUUGGUGGGGUAGUGGCUUACCAAGGCUUUGACGGGUAGCCGGCCUGAGAGGGUGACCGGCCAAAUUGGGAUUGAGAUCGGCCCAAGACUCCUAGGGGAGGAGGCGGGGGGAAUGAUUGAAGAGGGGGCGGGAGCCUGUGGCGGCAGCCCCGGGGGGGGAAUGGCGGCCUGCGGUUUGAAACCCGUUUCCGCUGGGGAAGAAGGGGAAGUGGCGGUAAGGGGAAAAGAAGCACCGGCAAAUUACGUG